rnacentral:rRNA from 1 species
UACGAAGGGGGCUAGCGUUGUUCGGAUUUACUGGGCGUAAAGCGCGUGUAGGCGGAUCGAUAAGUUGGGGGUGAAAGCCCAGAGCUCAACUCUGGAACUGCCUUCAAGACUGUCGGUCUGGACUCAAGGAGAGGCAAGUGGAAUGUCUAGUGUAGAGGUGAAAUUCGUAGAUAUUAGACGGAACACCAGUGGCGAAGGCGACUUGCUGGACUUGUAGUGACGCUGAGACGCGAAAGCGUGGGGAGCAAACAGG